rnacentral:rRNA from 1 species
GGUAGGAGAGUACACUCAGCGCGCGAAAAUGAACUUCUGACCCUUGUUUAUCACUAUGUUGCUUUGGCGGGUCGACCUGGUUCCGACCCAGGCGGCCGGCGCCCCCAGCCUUAACUGGCCAGGACGCCCGGCUAAGUGCCCGCCAGUAUACAAAACUCAAGAAUUCAUUUUGUGAAGUCCUGAUAUAUCAUUUAAUUGAUUAAAACUUUCAACAACGGAUCUCUUGGUUCUGGCAUCGAUGAAGAACGCAGCGAAAUGCGAUAAGUAAUGUGAAUUGCAGAAUUCAGUGAAUCAUCGAAUCUUUGAACGCACAUUGCGCCCUCUGGUAUUCCGGANGGCAUGCCUGUUCGAGCGUCAUUUCAACCCUCAAGCUCUGCUUGGUAUUGGGCAACGUCCGCUGCCGGACGUGCCUGAAGACCUCGGCGACGGCGUCCUAGCCUCGAGCGUAGUAGUAAAAUAUCUCGCUUUGGAGUGCUGGGCGACGGCCGCCGGACAAUCGACCUUCGGUCUAUUUUUCCAGGGUUGACCUCGGAUCAGGUAGGGAUA